rnacentral:rRNA from 1 species
GGGGAGUGAUGUCAAGUCAGCAUGGCCUUUAUAUCCUGGGCUACACACACGCUACAAUGGCCAACACAAUAGGUUGCUAAGCCGCGAGGUGGCGCCAAUCCAUAAAGUUGGUCUCAGUUCAGAUUGUAGGCUGCAACCCGCCUGCAUGAAGAUGGAGUUGCUAGUAACCGCAGGUCAGCUAUACUGCGGUGAAUACGUUCCCGGGGCUU